GACGAACGCUGGCGGCGUGCCUAAUACAUGCAAGUUGAGCGCUGAAGGCUGGUACUUGUACCAACUGGAUGAGCAGCGAACGGGUGAGUAACGCGUGGGGAAUCUGCCUUUGAGCGGGGGACAACAUUUGGAAACGAAUGCUAAUACCGCAUAAAAACUUUAAACACAAGUUUUAUGUUUGAAAGAUGCAAUUGCAUCACUCAAAGAUGAUCCCGCGUGGUAUUAGCUAGUUGGUGAGGUAAAGGCUCACCAAGGCGAUGAUACAUAGCCGACCUGAGAGGGGGAUCGGCCGCAUUGGGACUGGGACACGGCCCAAACUCCUACGGGAGGCAGCAGUAGGGAAUCUUCGGCAAUGGACGAAAGUCUGACCGAGCAACGCCGCGUGAGUGAAGAAGGUUUUCGGAUCGUAAAACUCUGUUGGUAGAGAAGAACGUUGGUGGGAGUGGAAAGCUCAUCAAGUGACGGAAACGACCCAGAAAGGGACGGCUAACUACGG
rnacentral:rRNA from 1 species